CCUACGGGAGGCAGCAGUAAGGAAUAUUGGACAAUGGGCGCAAGCCUGAUCCAGCCAUGCCGCGUGAAGGAUUAAGGUCCUCUGGAUUGUAAACUUCUUUUAUAGGGGACGAAAAAAGGGCAUUCUUGCUCACUUGACGGUACCCUAUGAAUAAGCACCGGCUAACUCCGUGCCAGCAGCCGCGGUAAUACGGAGGGUGCAAGCGUUAUCCGGAUUCACUGGGUUUAAAGGGUGCGUAGGCGGGCAGUUAAGUCAGUGGUGAAAUCUCCGAGCUCAACUCGGAAACUGCCAUUGAUACUAUCUGUCUUGAAUAUCGUGGAGGUAAGCGGAAUAUGUCAUGUAGCGGUGAAAUGCUUAGAUAUGACAUAGAACACCUAUUGCGAAGGCAGCUUACUACGCAUAUAUUGACGCUGAGGCACGAAAGCGUGGGGAUCAAACAGGAUUAGAUACCCUGGUAGUCCACGCCCUAAACGAUGGAUACUCGACAUACGCGAUACACUGUGUGUGUCUGAGCGAAAGCAUUAAGUAUCCCACCUGGAAGACGUCCGCAAGGAUGAAACUCAAAGAGUAGUAGGACGGNGAGAGAGCGACGGACGACGACGAGGAGGGAGGAGG
rnacentral:rRNA from 1 species